rnacentral:rRNA from 1 species
GAACCAAGCCUAAAUCUCUUACUUUGAACUGCCGCCGGCUCAUUAUAUCAGUUAUAGUUUAUUUGAUAGUCCCUUACUACUUGGAUAACCGUAGUAAUUCUAGAGCUAAUACAUGCGUCAAUACCCUUCUGGGGUAGUAUUUAUUAGAUUGAAACCAACCCCUUCGGGGUGAUGUGGUGAGUCAUAAUAAGCUUGUGGAUCGCAUGGCUUCCGCCGGCGAUGGAUCUUUCAAGUUUCUGCCCUAUCACCUUUGGAUGGGAGGGUAUUGGCCUACCAUGGGUUUAACGGGUAACGGGGAAAGGGGCGGGGGCGCCGGGCCGGGCGCGGGGCGCGCCGGGCGAGA